ACCAGGCUGUCAGUGACAUUCGUGGU
rnacentral:piRNA from 1 species